GUCUUUUAGAUUAUAAUUUAAAGUCUAACCUGCCCACUGAAUUUAUUUGAAGGGCCGCGGUAUUUUGACUGUGCAAAGGUAGCAUAAUCAUUAGUCUUUUAAUUGAAGGCUUGUAUGAAUGGUUGGAUGAAACAUUAACUGUCUCAAUUUAAUAAAAUUAGAAUUUAAUUUUUAAGUUAAAAAGCUUAAAUUAAAUUAGAGGACGAGAAGACCCUAUAGAUCUUUAUAAUUAAUUAUUUAUUAUUAAUAUAGAAAAUUAAUUAAUGUUAUUUAAUAAAUUAUUUUAUUGGGGUGAUAAAUAAAUUUAGGAAACUUUAUUUUAUAAAAACAUUUAUUUAUGAAUAUUUGAUCCAUUAUUAAUGAUUAAAAGAUUAAGUUACCUUAGGGAUAACAGCGUAAUUUUUUUAGAGAGUUCUUAUCGAUAAAAAAGUUUGCGACCUCGAUGUUGAAUUAAAGGUUAAUUUUAGGUGCAGAAGUUUAAAGUUUUGGUCUGUUCGACCAUUAAAUC
rnacentral:rRNA from 1 species